rnacentral:rRNA from 1 species
UGACAUGCAAGUCGAGCGGUAGAGAGAAGCUUGCUUCUCUUGAGAGCGGCGGACGGGUGAGUAAUGCCUAGGAAUCUGCCUGGUAGUGGGGGAUAACGUUCGGAAACGGACGCUAAUACCGCAUACGUCCUACGGGAGAAAGCAGGGGACCUUCGGGCCUUGCGCUAUCAGAUGAGCCUAGGUCGGAUUAGCUAGUUCCUGGGGUAAUGGCUCACCUUGGCGACGAUCCGUAACUGGUCUGAGAGGAUGAUCAGUCACACUGGUUCUGAGACACGGUCCAGACUCCUACGGGAGGCAGCAGUGGGGAAUAUUGGACAAUGGGCGAAAGCCUGAUCCAGCCAUGCCGCGUGUGUGAAGAAGGUCUUCGGAUUGUAAAGCACUUUAAGUUGGGAGGAAGGGCCGUUACCUAAUACGUGAUGGUUUUGACGUUACCGACAGAAUAAGCACCGGCUUUCUCUGUGCCAGCAGCCGCGGUAAUACAGAGGGUGCAAGCGUUAAUCGGAAUUACUGGGCGUAAAGCGCGCGUAGGUGGUUUGUUAAGUUGGAUGUGAAAUCCCCGGGCUCAACCUGGGAACUGCAUUCAAAACUGACUGACUAGAGUAUGGUAGAGGGUGGUGGAAUUUGGUGUGUAGCGGUGAAAUGCGUAGAUAUAGGAAGGAACACCAGUGGCGAAGGCGACCACCUGGACUGAUACUGACACUGAGGUGCGAAAGCGUGGCCAGCAAACAGGAUUAGAUACCCUGGUAGUCCACGGGGUAAACGAUGUCAACUAGCCGUUGG